rnacentral:RNase_P_RNA from 1 species
GCAGUCGGCCGGGCGGCCGCUGCGUCCGGCGCGGCCUCGGCCGCGAUCGGACGUGGAGGAAAGUCCGAACUCCGCAGGGCUGUGCGCCGGGUAACGCCCGGUCAGGGCGACCUGAAGGAAAGUGGCACAGAAAACAUACCGCCGCGCGCCGCGCACGCUCGCUCGGCGCGCGGUAAGGGUGAAAAGGUGCGGUAAGAGCGCACCGCGUCCCCCGCAAGGGGGAUGGCAGGCUAAACCCCGCACGGAGCAAGACCAAAUAGGGAGGCGCUACAGNNNNNNNNNNAGGAAUGGUCGCCGCCGCGUGACGACGCGCUCAUGGCGUGACCGAACGCGGUACAGAAUUCGGCUUACGCGCCGGCUGCGGCG